AUGCUCUUCCUAUCCAAUCAUGCGAGACUUCGGGGCGACUCCAGAUGUCUCCACUACCCCAGCCUCCCAGCAAAGUCCUUAAAAGUCAAAGCAAGGGAGCCCCCAAAGAGCUGGAGUUCCCCCCCACCCCGACGGCAAAGCAUCGCGUGUGUAGCCACAGCGGCUUCCAUCCAGGACCUGUCUCUCUCACCCCCUACUGCCCUCCGUCCUGGGCCUGCAUGGGAACACGGCAGCCGGGUCCCCUCCGCCUCCAAAGUGCACUCACCGCGUCCAGGCAGGCCGGGGGAGCAGCCGUGCGCCACGGGACGCGCGCUCCCCGCCGGCCCCUGCUUCCCCGCGCUCAGCUCACACUCGCAACUGGCCCCGGCGCCGGGGAUCCGGGAAACAGGAGGAAAGGGGAGGAGCCCCCUUGCGCAAGGUGCUUUCCAGUCGUGCCAGGCUGCAGCCGGUGACCUGCGCGAGGGACGGACGCCCCCGCCUCUCCACGCCCCUGCCCUAGGUCUCCCCCACUGCUGGGAGAGCCCCCGGCGCGCCCUAGAGGGGCGUGACCCCAAAGCCACCCCGAACCCACCGGAGGCUAGUUACCUGCGGCCUCGGCGCGCGCCCGCGGGCCAGGCGCGUCCCCCGCAGACCCCCGACGGCUCGGUGCGCGGCGCGUGGCCGGUCCUGGCAGCGCGGCGCCGGGCUCCAGCGCGUGGCGCGGCGGCCGGGCCGGAGCAGGCAAGUGCGCUAUGGACGCGUGACUCACCGCGUCUGAGCCGGCCCAGUGGGCGGCGCAGCGGACAGCGGCCGCCGCCUCCCCGCCUUUUCCAUUUCCCCUUUAUCUUGGUAAACAGAACGAGCCCGCCCGCUCGCUGGGGAAGCCGAAGCACCAGCGCCGGGAAAUUCCGUGCUCCCCCCCUCUGCCCGGCACCGUGGGCCCGCGGGGAGGAGCUGGGGGCGGGGCGCAACGUCGGGGACCCGCCUCGCUCGCCGGGGAUCCGCACGGACCGGGGAGCGCGAACGGCGGAGCCGGGCAGGACAGCCCCGGAGAGACCUGGCCUUGCCCGGCGCGCGCGUGCGCGGGCAUCCUAG
rnacentral:lncRNA from 1 species